ACAUACGCUUGAAUGUCUGACUCCUUUUGCAUUUCUUUGAGAGACAGGAGUUCACCCCAGGAAGGAUUAUGAUGUUAUGGUUGGAAUGCAGAGAGAAAGCUUUUGAUUUCCAAAACAGGCUGUUUGAGUCUGUGUCAUCCCAAUAGCCCUGAUGUCUUGAUGAGAAAGUCCUGCAUGAUGACCACCUGCCCUUUCUAUAGCAGGAGUCAAGAUCUCUGAAACAGGUUGUGGAGUUUCACAGGACCCACAAGUAGAGGAAUCCCUGCCUGCAUCUGCAAUGGGAAUCCUUCAGAAGGAAAGGCUGAGAGGAGCGAGAUGUCACUGUCUGUCCCCAUGGCAACCUUGGGGCUGACAGCUGGGAGCAGGACGCACACCCAGGAGUCUUAGCCUCAACCCUGAAUUCCUCUUUUGACAAAUGGAAACCUCAUUCCACUCUUGCCGAUGCAUCUUCUAAUCCAGAGCAGAACAUAAUCCCCAUCUCUUUUCUCUGGAACGUUGGGAGAAUUUGUGUCUGUCAAAUGCUUUGGAGAAAUGUGAAAAGAAUGUUUAAAAUGCCAGAUCAUUUUUUCAAAAAAAUCAAUUAUAGGUUUGCCUUUGGGGUAACCCUAAGACAACACAAAAUCUCAAACUUUCAUCCCACUGGAGUGAAGGAAAAUAAUUACUCCGUUAGGUUUUCAGCGAUCACGCAAUUGCCUUGGAUUUUACAUUCAAAUUCCAACCAGGAGGGAACUGCGAUCUUGGAGCGAAUUCUAAAGAAAUGCUGCGAAGGCACAGGUCUCUUCCACAGGGCCCAGGCCUCAGAGCCAGCAGAAACUUUGCAAGUGGCAUUUGCAGCCAAAACAAUUCUGACAGCUCCUCUGGAGGGGUCUGGUAACUAGACUCUGCAAACUGGAAGAAAUUAGCUCUGACCACAGACCAUCCAACAGACCCGUAUUUAAUAAUACUUCCCAAACGUGUGAAGCACUUAGUUUUAGAAUAACAGGAAGAAUGGAAUCACCUGGAACUACAGAUUUGAGUUUCAUUCUGGCCAUCAUACCCUCCCAGGAGCCUUGCUCCUCUGGUGGCCAAGAGGGGUGGCCGAAGCCCGGUGCCGCUCCCCUAUGGCCCCCACCCCAGGGCUAGCCUGUCUUGGAGAAGGGUGACAUUGAGGCUCUGUACCCUGCACCCUGGCCUUCUCGAGGCAGAGGUCAGGUCUGCCGGGGGAAGGAGCCCACGUGCCAGCUCGGGCCUGGAAACGUGAGUCUCCACAGAUUCCACCAGCCUGCGGGAACGGCUAAAAAAUUGCUCCCUUCCUUCUCAGCUGCUCCUGGACAGCUCCAGGAGGCCUUUCCGACAAGAGAGCAUUGUGUCCCAUUGGAGCCCUCCCCUGUCACAAAGGGGGCCUUUCACGGCUGCAACUGGGGAGGGUGGGGACCUCAAGGCCGGCUCGUUAACCAGCUCUGGGCACAGUGGCUGUGGCUCGAGCUACCGCUACCUGGAACGGGCCCUCCUUGGAGACGAACCCUUUAUUUGACUUCUAACAGGGAGCUAUCCUGAAGGAGGCCAGCUUGUUUGCUGGGAAGAGAAGUGGUUGGCUACUUACUGCAAACAGAUGAUACAAAAAUUCACAUAUCCCUUCCGGAAUAAGGGCUGUGGAGGGAUAGAUGGGCUUGUGGUGGGAAUGAUUUUCAGAAAGAUUUGCAAGAGAUUGAUGGCGCUGGUUGUAUCUGGGUAGCUGGGUAGUAUGCAGAAGGGACAGGAGGGGAAGAAACUUACACUCUAUCCCUGUGGACUUAGGCAUAUUGGACUAUGUGAACAAAUAUCUAAUUCAAAAAUAUCCUCACCUUGCAAAAGGCUAAAUAUAUACUCCCAUCUCAGAGAGGGAGGGAGGGUGGG
rnacentral:lncRNA from 1 species